rnacentral:rRNA from 1 species
CUUGGUCAUUUAGAGGAAGUAAAAAGUCGUAACAAGGUUUCCGUAGGUGAACCUGCGGAAGGAUCAUUAUAGAAAUAAACCUGAGCAGGCUGUUUGCUGGUCCUCCCAAGGGACAUGUGCACGCUUGUCGUCUUUAUUCUUCCAACUGUGCACAUACUGUAGACCUGGAGCUUUUCUUAUCGUUCGAAUAGAUUGAGGACUGCCGCGGUGCGGCUUUGCCUUGUGUUUCCAGGUCUAUGUCGUAAUACAUUUUCACAACCUGUUUUGGAAUGUGGGGACAAGCAAAUAUACAACUUUCAGCAACGGAUCUCUUGGCUCUCGCAUCGAUGAAGAACGCAGCGAAAUGCGAUAAGUAAUGUGAAUUGCAGAAUUCAGUGAAUCAUCGAAUCUUUGAACGCAUCUUGCGCUCCUUGGUAUUACGAGGAGCAUGCCUGUUCGAGUGUCAUCAAAAGUUCUCAACCACACCGGUUCUUCUGGCGUGGCUUGGAUUUGGGGGUUUGCAGGCUUUGAACAGAAGUCGGCUCCCCUGAAAAGGAUUAGCAGUAUCUGAGCGGGAGACUACGUCGGGCGUGAUAAAUCACCUAUGCCUCGGUGUACCCGAUGUGUGAGACUGCUUCUAACUGAGUGUUGACAAGUUUGACCUCGAAUCAGGUAGGACUACCCGCUGAACUUAGGCAUAUCAAUAAGCGGAGGA